rnacentral:tRNA from 1 species
GAGUAGCGUAGUGGUUAGCACGCUCGACUCUCACUCGAGAGGGUCCGGGUUCGAAUCCCGGAGGCGGCA